rnacentral:lncRNA from 1 species
AGGUUCCUUUCACAAGAACACUGUCCCCUCCAAACGCAGUGACUUUUAUCCCCCGCCCCUUCUCCCGCCUGCCUCACCAGGGCGCACACGCUCCUUGGCCCCGGUCGGCUGGCUGUGAUUGGCGCCGGCGGCCCCAGCAGAUGACGGAGGAGACAAAGUGAUGGCUGCAGGUCGUCUGAGGUCCCACCCCGGCCACGUGCGGCUUCUGUGAUGACAGGUCCAGAAGGGCGGGGCUUUGGCUGACUAGCUAGGUACAACCCCAAACUGACCGGAUCCGGAGGCUGGUGGCAAGCUAGAGCUCCAGGCAAAAGCUAGCUCUCUCUCUAGCUCUCAUUCUGUCUCGCCUCUGCCUCUGCCUCUGCCUCUGCCUCUGCCUCUGCCUCUGCCUCUGCCUCUGCCUCUGCCUCUGCCUCUGCCUCUGCCUCUGCCUCUGCCUCUGCCUCUGCCUCUGCCUCUGCCUCUGCCUCUGCCUCUGCCUCUGCCUCUGCCUCUGCCUCUGCCUCUGCCUCUGCCUCUGCCUCUGCCUCUGCCUCUGCCUCUGCCUCUGCCUCUGCCUCUGCCUCUUCUCUCUCACUCUCUCUGUCUCUGUCUCUCUCUCUUUGCCCUUUCCCUUUCUUCUCUUCUCUUUUCCUCUAAAGGGUCCCUUUCUACUGUAAACUGGCCUCUAACUCGCUCUUCUUCCUCUCCCUUCAAAGUGCGGAGGUUCCUGAGAUUGUCUUGCUGGUGUGAGCAAGCUACUUACUUAAGGAACUCGAGCCUCUGUAAGGACUACUCAAUAGUAAUGUGUAUUUGUCCUAAAGGAAAUCAGUGAGGUUUGCAACCUAGAGUAAAGGAAUCUCGGGGGUCUGUAAAAAGUGGGAGAGUUUGAACAGUGGGGUUUCAGGUUUGUUAAAUUAUGUGGUUGCGUCUGGAUUCAGGAAUGGGCAGAAGUAUCUAUUUCUGUUAAGGUGGCUCGGGGAAAUGUGUGACCUUGUUUCGAAAGUGGGAGGCAAGACGCAGAGUGAGAAAAAAAUUGCAAUAGAUUUUUCUAGCAGAAAGAAGACUGCCAAGAAUAAACAAAGAGCUCCAAACAAAUAGAAAAACACACACACACACAAAUGAAAAUAAACGAUGCUGUUCCUUGAAAUGUAAAAGUAUCGACAUGGACUAUAGCGCCUUACAUUGAUGAAGAAAAGUAUUUUGCCUUUUAAAGGCACUGAAGAAAGUCUGUGAAGUCAAUACUUUUCAGUUUAAUUAGGUCUUGAGUCCUCUACAGGAAAUACGGAGGGGCAGAAAGAUGUCCUCCACAUACCAGUAGAUGGCAGCACAGUACUCUUGCAGAGCUAAAUGAGGGAAUCCAAAGACCCAGUCGGGGCCUUCCUGUUACUUUGAUGAGGUUGGUUCUGACAAAGAAGUUCAUGGAGGCUCCGGUUCUUUAGGAUCUGUAACUUUAGCUAACUCUGUCUGUGUGUGUGUGUGUGUGUGUGUGUGUGUGUGUGUGUGUGUGUGUGUGUCACAGAGAGCCUUUUGUCUCAGCUGGGAUGGGUGGUUUCUGAUUAACAGAAACUGAUCAGUUCAACACCAAAGGUAUGCUACAUAGCAAUAAACAAAGG